rnacentral:rRNA from 1 species
AUACGGAGGUUGCAAGCGUUACUCGGAAUCACUGGGCGUAAAGCGCGCGCAGGCGGCUAUUUAAGUUGGAUGUGAAAGCCUAUGGCUCAACCAUAGAACUGCAUCCAAAACUAUUUAGCUAGAGUGUGGGAGAGGAAGAUGGAAUUAGUUGUGUAGGGGUAAAAUCCGUAGAGAUAACUAGGAAUACCAAAAGCGAAGGCAAUCUUCUGGAACACUACUGACGCUGAGGCGCGGAAGCGUGGGGAGCAAACAGGAUUAGAAACCCUAGUAGUCC